GGGUCUUGGGAUACUUGGAGUUAAGCGUCCUUGGGGUUGAAUAGUACUGGGCUGGGUGACCUCCCGGGAAGUCCAAACUCAAGAGCUU
rfam:Selaginella moellendorffii unplaced genomic scaffold SELMOscaffold_48, whole genome shotgun sequence.